GUAGGUGGCAAGCGUUGUCCGGAAUUAUUGGGCGUAAGGCGCGCGCAGGCGGUUCUUUAAGUCUGAUGUGAAAGCCCACGGCUCAACCGUGGAGGGUCAUUGGAAACUGGAGAACUUGAGUACAGAAGAGGAAAGCGGAAUUCCACGUGUAGCGGUGAAAUGCGUAGAGAUGUGGAGGAACACCAGUGGCGAAGGCGGCUUUCUGGUCUGUAACUGACGCUGAGGCGCGAAAGCGUGGGGGGCAAACAGGGAUUAGAUACCCUGGUAGUCCACGCCGUAAACGAUGAGUGCUAAGUGUUAGGGGGUUUUACCCGCCCCCGUUAGUGCUGCAGCUAACGCAUUAAGCACUCCGCCUGGGGAGUACGGCCGCAAGGCUG
rnacentral:rRNA from 1 species